AUUGAACGCUGGCGGCAGGCUUAACACAUGCAAGUCGAGCGGGGGAGAUUGCUUCGGUAAUUGACCUAGCGGCGGACGGGUGAGUAAUACUUAGGAAUCUGCCUAUUAAUGGGGGACAACAUCUCGAAAGGGAUGCUAAUACCGCAUACGCCCUACGGGGGAAAGCAGGGGAUCACUUGUGACCUUGCGUUAAUAGAUGAGCCUAAGUCGGAUUAGCUAGUUGGUGGGGUAAAGGCCUACCAAGGCGACGAUCUGUAGCGGGUCUGAGAGGAUGAUCCGCCACACUGGGACUGAGACACGGCCCAGACUCCUACGGGAGGCAGCAGUGGGGAAUAUUGGACAAUGGGGGGAACCCUGAUCCAGCCAUGCCGCGUGUGUGAAGAAGGCCUUAUGGUUGUAAAGCACUUUAAGCGAGGAGGAGGCUCUUUUGGUUAAUACCCAAGAUGAGUGGACGUUACUCGCAGAAUAAGCACCGGCUAACUCUGUGCCAGCAGCCGCCGUAAAAC
rnacentral:rRNA from 1 species